rnacentral:rRNA from 1 species
UACAGAGGUCUCAAGCGUUGUUCGGAUUCAUUGGGCGUAAAGGGUGCGUAGGCGGCGCGGUAAGUCGGGGGUGAAAUCUUGGAGCUUAACUCCGAAACUGCAUUCGAUACUGCCGUGCUUGAGGACUGGAGAGGAGACUGGAAUUUACGGUGUAGCGGUGAAAUGCGUAGAUAUCGUAAGGAAGACCAGUGGCGAAGGCGGGUCUCUGGACAGUUCCUGACGCUGAAGCACGAAGGCCAGGGGAGCAAACGGG